rnacentral:rRNA from 1 species
ACGGGGGCUCACACAAGCGGUGGAGCAUGUUGCUUAAUUCGAGGCAACGCGAAGAACCUUACCUGGGCUUGACAUGUACGGAUUAACUCUUGGAAACUUGAGCCACGCCUCGGGUGGAACGUACACAGGUGUUGCAUGGCUGUCAUCAGCUCGUGCUGUGAAGUGUCGGGUUAAGUCCCUUAACGAGCGCAACCCCUAUCGUUAGUUGCCAGCGCGUCAUGGCGGGGACUCUAGCGAGACUGCCGGUGUCAAACCGGAGGAAGGUGGGGAUGACGUCAAGUCCUCAUGGCCCUUAUGUCCAGGGAUGCAAACGUGCUACAAUGGCGUGUACAGAGCGAUGCGAGGCCGCAAGGCGGAGCAAAUCGCAAAAAGCACGCCCCAGUUCGGAUUGCAGGCUGCAACUCGCCUGCAUGAAGCCGGAAUCGCUAGUAAUCGGAGAUCAGCUACGCUCCGGUGAAUACGUUCCUGAGCCUU